UGGUUCAAUCAUAAAAGGUGGCUUUUAGCUACCACUUGCAGAUGGACCCGCGGCGCAUUAGCUAGUUGGUGAGGUAACGGCUCACCAAGGCGACGAUGCGUAGCCGACCUGAGAGGGUGAUCGGCCACACUGGGACUGAGACACGGCCCAGACUCCUACGGGAGGCAGCAGUAGGGAAUCUUCCGCAAUGGACGAAAGUCUGACGGAGCAACGCCGCGUGAGUGAUGAAGGUUUUCGGAUCGUAAAAGCUCUGUUGUUAGGGAAGAACAAGUAGCCGUUUCGAAUAGGGCGGCACCUGACGCCUACC
rnacentral:rRNA from 1 species